rnacentral:rRNA from 1 species
AGUGAACGCUGGCGGUAGGCCUAACACAUGCAAGUCGAACGGCAGCACAGUAAGAGCUUGCUCUUACGGGUGGCGAGUGGCGGACGGGUGAGGAAUACAUCGGCAUCUACUUUUUCGUGGGGGACAACGUAGGGAAACUUACGCUAAUACCGCAUACGACCUACGGGUGAAAGCAGGGGAUCUUCGGACCUUGCGUGCAUGACUGAGCCGAUGUCGGUUUUGCUAGUUGGCGGGGUAAAGGCCCACCAAGGGGACCAUCCGUAGCUGGUCUGAGAGGAUGGUCGGCCACACUGGAACGGGGACACGGUCCGGACUCCUACGGAAGGAGGAAGUGGGGAAUAUUGGACAAUGGGGGCAAGCCUGACCCAGCCAUACCGCGUAGGGGAAGAAGGCCUUCGGGUUGUAAGGCCCUUUUGUUGGGAAAGAAAAGCGGCAGGUUAAUACCCCGCUGUUCUGACGGUACCCAAAGAAUAAGCACCGGCUAACUUCGUG